rnacentral:rRNA from 1 species
UACGAAGGGUGCAAACGUUGCUCGGAAUCAUUGGGCGUAAAGCGCACGUAGGCGGCUUCGCAAGUCGGAUGUGAAAUCCCUCGGCUCAACCGAGGACGUGCAUCCGAAACUGCGAAGCUUGAGUACAGAAGAGGAUCGCGGAAUUCCCGGUGUAGAGGUGAAAUGCGUAGAGAUCCGGAGGAACACCAGUGGCGAAGGCGACACGCUGGGCCGUACCUGACGCUGAUACGCGACAGCAUGGGGAGCGAACGGG